rnacentral:lncRNA from 1 species
GGUUCUGGUCCCGAAAAUUUCAACCCACUGUAAUGAUGAGUUGGAAAGAUUAUUUUUUGAGAGGUAACUAUGAUUAUCACAUCCAUUUUCUUUAAGCUAUAAUACUAGGUACAUGUUUUUUUAGGUCGUGCAUUAUUAUGGCUUUUCAACUAAUUGUUCAAUGUGUUCUACUGUAUGAUUAUAAAUAACUGUAGAUGCUCAUCACAUCCAUUUUCUUUAAGCUAUUAGACUGGGGUUCAGGUAUUUUUCUAGUCAUGCAUUGUUAUGGCUUUUCAACUAAUUGUUCGAUGUGUUCUACUGUGUAUGAUUAUAAUAACUGUAGAUGCUAGGAACUGUUCUGACGUUUGGGAGGUGUAGGAGAAUUGAGAUGCAAGAGACUCUAACCCAAGAGUACUGUAUUAGGCUCACUUCUUUCCUUGUAUAAUAUGCCUGUAGGGUUCACUAUUGGAAGACAAAUUGCAUGAUCCUUGCAUAGUUCUAUGUUCCCAAUUGGUACAUCAUUUGCAUUAUCUGGCUUUGACUAGCAACUCACUUGGCACAACCCCAUGCGUUUCUAUACUGAUAAGUAAAUUUGGUUAUAAACAACAAC